CGUGGGUAGCGCAAUCCGUAGCGCGCACUGGCCUCUAAGCCAGGGGUUGGCGGUUCGAAUCCGCUCUCGCAACCA
rnacentral:tRNA from 1 species